CCUACGGGUGGCUGCAGUGAGGAAUAUUGGUCAAUGGGCGCAAGCCUGAACCAGCCAAGUCGCGUGAGGGAAGACGGCCCUACGGGUUGUAAACCUCUUUUGCCGGGGAGCAAGCCUGAGCACGUGUGCCUUUUUGUAUGUACUUUAUGAAUAAGGAUCGGCUAACUCCGUGCCAGCAGCCGCGGUAAUACGGAGGAUCCGAGCGUUAUCCGGAUUUAUUGGGUUUAAAGGGAGCGUAGAUGGGUUGUUAAGUCAGUUGUGAAAGUUUGCGGCUCAACCGUAAAAUUGCAAUUGAUACUGGCAGCCUUGAGUACAGUUGAGGUAGGCGGAAUUCGUGGUGUAGCGGUGAAAUGCUUAGAUAUCACGAAGAACUCCGAUUGCGAAGGCAGCCUACUAAACUGCCACUGACAUUGAUGCUCGAAAGUGUGGGUAUCAAACAGGAUUAGAUACCCGGGUAGUC
rnacentral:rRNA from 1 species